rnacentral:rRNA from 1 species
UUGACCUCAAAUCAGGUAGGACUACCCGCUGAACUUAAGCAUAUCAAUAAGCGGAGGAAAAGAAACCAACAGGGAUUGCCUUAGUAACGGCGAGUGAAGCGGCAAAAGCUCAAAUUUGAAAUCUAGCACUUUCAGUGUUCGAGUUGUAAUUUGAAGAAGGUAACUUUGGAAUUGGCUCUUGUCUAUGUUCCUUGGAACAGGACGUCACAGAGGGUGAGAAUCCCGUGCGAUGAGAUGUCCAAUUCUAUGUAAAGUGCUUUCGAAGAGUCGAGUUGUUUGGGAAUGCAGCUCUAAGUGGGUGGUAAAUUCCAUCUAAAGCUAAAUAUUGGCGAGAGACCGAUAGCGAACAAGUACAGUGAUGGAAAGAUGAAAAGAACUUUGAAAAGAGAGUGAAAAAGUACGUGAAAUUGUUGAAAGGGAAGGGCUUGAGAUCAGACUUGGUAUUUUGUGUUCCUUAUUCUUUUUGGAUUUGGUUCCUCACAGCUUACCGGGCCAGCAUCGGUUUGGAUGGUAGGAUAAUGACAUUGGAAUGUAGCUUUGCUUCGGUGAAGUGUUAUAGACUUUGUUGAUACUGCCUAUCUAGACCGAGGACUGCGUCUU